GUCUAUCCCGCCCUCCUGUGGGGCAGGGCGUGCUGGGCCCUCUGCAGGUCGGCGGGUGACAGCUUGCGCCCUUUCGCGCAGGGACUCGGCCACCAUGAGGAGGGGUCAGGGGCUCAGGAUUCGGAGACCAGGCAGCCUCAUUAGCCUUAAGCGCCUGCCCUGAGACAGCCUGAGAGGAGCAAGAGCUUCUCCAAGGAUCUCCUCGUGAAUUCAGACCUCGGAAAUAAUGAAAACAUUUAUAUUUCCAGUUUUUAUCUAGAAUUCUCAAAAGUAUCGAAGCUAUUGCAAUUCAUAAUCUGCCUCGACAUAAUUUCGAAAUCAAAGGAACAAAAACAACUUACCUGAAAAAGUAGGUCUCGGCCCGCUGGUAAUGUCCAGGUGUGAGUCUGAGGGGAGGGUACUCGGUGGCCAGGGGUCUCACCAUGAACAAGCCCAUGGCCAAGGCCACGAAGAGGACUGGCAGCAGCAGGUCGGCGAGGGUGCUCUUCCCGGCGCGCAGCGUGCGGCGGAGCCUCCGGGCCAGGAUCGCGGCCACUUGUGCGCGGAGCAGCUGGACGCCCUGCACAGUUGCGGGCCGUGCUAGGGAGCCACCUGCAGGACGGGCGGGAGGAAGGGCGGCUGGGUCAGCUCUGCGGAGGUGACAGCGCUUUGCCUCGUUUGCCCUCUCGGUGACCCUGCGGCAUCUCGCAGCCAUGGGAAUGCGACGCAGGCCCACCCCAUGAGGACUCCCUUGAGUGUCCCCUUUAUGCACCUAAAGUGCGGAAGCUGGGCCUUGGGCCGGAAGGCUGCAAUGCAAGAGGAAGCCUCGUGGCAACGCGUGGCAGGAGCAGGGCGUGUGAGCUCCGCUGCGCUUAGAGCGGACGACACACCUGGGCUGCUCCUUUGCUUCCUCCUCCUCUCUCCCACCAUCCUUUUCCUCUCUGUUCUUAACUCCAGGUCUCUCCUGGGAAAACCCCAGCUUAUGUGUGGGUCGGGAUUCAUUCAGGGAAUAACCCCACGGCCUGCUUUUCCUCAGUUCCACCGUCCCUGCACCCCGCCCCCGCUCCUCCCGGCGCCUUCCACUUCCCCGCAGGGCAUAGGAGAGCCCGGCGCCUGCCCACUGCGCCUCCCUGCUCCCGCUUCCCUGCUCUGGGGGACGCAGCGAAUGUGAAAACAUCCUCAGCUAUCAGAGCGAUCCACAAGCAAAAUUCGAAAGGAAAGCGUGAGCUGUGCAUCAUUCAUCUACUGAUCAUCCGGCCACGCUCCCUCAAGAGUGAUCCUUUGGAGCCUCUACCAACGAAUCUCAGUAAAUCUCCUGGAGUUGAGGUUGCACGUUCCAAACAAGCUGUGGAGAGCAGCUUUUCUGUCCACUGGGUGGAUGAGAAGCUGGGAGCAGAGACAGAGGUAGCCCAUGGACUGCAGUCUUAAACGACGUCCAAAGCAGGACUCAGCCGGAUCAAUCAGCUGUGGUGAUAGUUUUUCCCAGUGAUUGACUCUAAAGUACUCCAGAAAAUCCAAUAUGAAGUAUUUCACAAGAAAGGCAGUCUUAUAAAGAACAGAUGUACUAAACGGAUUGUACUGCUCACAAACACCAAACUGAAAUACAGUUAAUAGAGAGCAGCAAACAAGUUUGAAGACCCAAAAGAGAACAUUUUUAAAGAAGCUGUACCAUGUGAAAGAGACAUCAUUUGUCACAGCAUUGAGAACAGAAUUGUAGAGGGGUCAUGGGGAUAAAAAUGCAUAUCUGAGAAAACUUCAUUUGGGAUAUUUACUGAGUGCCCAGUGUGUGCAGGCGCUGGGCUCUUUGGUUUCUGUCCCCAACAUACGGGUUGAGAUAAAAAUGUAAAGAAAUAACCCAGCACACUGUAACAAAGUGUCAGGCUGGAAAGAGUCGGUACCAAGGAGUGAGUCCUUGGGAUGCUGAGGAAAAAGUGAGAAACAGGCCAAGCGGCCCGGACGUUCAGGUAGAAUCCUUGAGAUCCCUGGGAGUUUACAGGCAGACAAGAAAAUGUGGAAGUCUAAAGAUCAAAACAGGAGGUAUAAAUAGGCCUGGCAUUCUCUGUGAAUAGCAAGGAAACAGAAUGUGGCACAUCCGUGUAGCAAGUGGCAGGAGAUGAGAGUUAAAAGUGAUCAGAAACCAAGACAAGAAAGACCUGCACACCCAUUUUUAAGGAUUUCAGGGUUUGUGCUGGACAGAAGACUUCCAAACCCAGUAGUCACUUGGGCUGAGUCACAUGUUAGACUUCCAAAUUAUAAGGCAAAUUAGUAUUUAAUUUUAAUGAAUAAAGUUCUAAUGAGGAUGAGGCAUUAGGUAGUUAAAGCAGUGGUUUCUAAACCAGGCUGCAUAUCAGAUUAACCUGGGAACAUUUUAAAUGCUGGUUGCCAGGCCCUAUCUCAGAAAAAAAAAAAAAAAUCCCAAUCUCCAGAGACUCAGAGUUAAAAGUGUGUUUUUAUAACUUCCCAGAAGAUUGAAAUUCUCAGCCAGUCUAUGGAACCACUGAUUUAAUGCAUUUAUCAAUGGUGAUCCAUAUACAGCUCUCAUAAAGCAGUUAUUAAGUCAGCAUAUAGACAGAUUAUAUUGCUAGGAAAAAAGUAUGUCAUUAAACUAAAUUUUAUAUCUCUACCUAUCUAUCUAUCUAUAUAUAUACACACAUACAAGUAUAUACACUCUUCUUGAUGAUUUUAUGAGGUUAUAGUGCUGGAUAACACCAAUUCUAUUAAGUCUGCAUAUUUAUUAGGAUAAGUAUUUGAAUUCUCUAACUCAAGCUAAAAUAACUGGGAUGUUUUUGGGUGCCCAUCCCUGGAUUUCUAAAAGUAAUUACUGAAAUAAUUACUUGAUAUCUUCACAGCCCUUUGACCAAGAAGCUCUUUCUCUGACAAGGUAAAAUGCCAUACUUUGUUCAGGCUUAAAAGGAACUGAAUAGCCACAGUUCACCAAAUGUCACAACCUACAAAUUAGCCUUUACGUAGCAGCUUUUGACAUUCACAUCUAGCCACCCAUUCUUAGCCACCUGCCAAACUGUGCACCUUCUCAUAUUUGUGUACAGCAGGGAAAUGGCUGUAAAUACCUGCUUAGUUGGCAGAAGAGAUAUUUGUUAAGUGAUACAAAACUGACAUGACUAAACAAGUAUUGGAUAUCUACUUAGCAAUUAGCUCUGGUAACAGAAAAGGAAUAGAGUAGACUCAGAGAGUGGUGAUUUAUGUGCACACUGGCCUGGGUUCAUUGAGAACAAUCAUCAGAGCCACUGUGGGGUGGGGAACAUUCAAUUUUUUAAUCCUGGAUUUGAAUCUAAUCUCAGCCACCAACAUAUCGUGUGGAUUCUGGAACAUUAUUUAACCUCUCUGAAUGUCAUCUCCUCACUUGUAAAGUAGAGAUUUGUAAUAUUUUCCCUCUAUGUAAUGAGAAUUAUUAUUAGAACAGUUAUUAAACUGCCAGAAUAAACGUAAUGUUGACCCG
rnacentral:lncRNA from 1 species